ACGGGGAAGAGAGAAGCUUGAGAGGGUGGAUAAAAUCUGAAGCAGGGAUGACAUCCACGCCAUGCUGGCUCUGCAGGUGACCUACACCAUCCCUGUUCCCUACCCAGGAGCUGACAGCAGGCGUGGUCCAAUGGAUAAGCCAGAGUGUUAUGGGAGAUGCAAGCAUCCUCUCCCGCCGUGAUGCUCAGUCUGGUGUUCAUCUGUGUUUUGAAUGGUCAUCAUCCAAACCUUUGUCCCCAGGAACCCUGUGGGCACCUGGUACAUGUCCCAGAAGACUAGAGGUCCGAUCUCUGGGUGUGAUGGCCCAGAUAGCCAUUGCCUCGGGUAUACUGGAACACCUCUCUGAAAAAUAAGGAUGUGACACCAGCA